rnacentral:tRNA from 1 species
GUUUAUAUAGUUUAAAAAAAAAAUAUUGAUUUGUGAUUUCAAAGUUAUUUAAUAAUUAUAAGCA